rnacentral:rRNA from 1 species
UACAGAGGUCCCGAGCGUUGUUCGGAUUCACUGGGCGUAAAGGGUGCGUAGGUGGUGAGGUAAGUCGGAUGUGAAAGCUCGGAGCUCGACUCCGAAAUGGCAUUGGAAACUACCUUGCUUGAGGGUUGGAGGGGGGACUGGAAUUCUCGGUGUAGCAGUGAAAUGCGUAGAGAUCGAGAGGAACACCAGUGGCGAAGGCGAGUCCCUGGACAACACCUGACGCUGAGGCACGAAAGCUAGGGGAGCAAACAGG